AAGGGAAGGCAGGAGAAAGGCUG
rnacentral:miRNA from 1 species